rnacentral:rRNA from 1 species
AGUGAACGUUGGCGGCGUGGAUUAGGCAUGCAAGUCGAGCGAGAACCGUAGCAAUACGGGGACAGCGGCGAAAGGGACAGUAAUGUGUAGGUACCUACCUCCGGGUUCGGGAUAGCUGCGGGAAACUGCAGGUAAUACCGAAUAACGUCUCCGGACCAAAGGUGUGAUUCCACCUGGAGAGGGGCCUGCAUCCUAUUAGCUUGUUGGCGGGGUAACGGCCCACCAAGGCGACGAUGGGUAGCGGGUGUGAGAGCACGACCCGCGUAAUUGGGGCUGAGACACUGCCCGGACACCUACGGGUGGCUGCAGUCGUGAAUCUUCGGCAAUGGGCGCAAGCCUGACCGAGCGACGCCGCGUGCGGGAUGAAGGCCUUCGGGUUGUAAACCGCUGUCGUAGAGGAGGAAAUGCAGGGGGGUUCUCCCCUCUGUUUGACCUAUUCUAGGAGGAAGUACGGGCUAAGUUCGUGCCAGCCGCCGCCGUAA